ACACAGCACUUUGCCAACUCGUAAGAGGAAGUAUAAGGUGUGACGCCUGCCCGGUGCUCAAGAAGGUUAAGAGGAUGCGUCAGUCGCAAGAUGAAGCGUUGAAUUGAAGCCCGAGUAAACGGCGGCCGUAACUAUAACGGUCCUAAGGUAGCGAAAUUCCUUGUCGGUUAAAUACCGACCUGCAUGAAUGGCGUAACGAGAUGGGAGCUGUCUCAACCAGAGAUUCAGUGAAAUUGUAGUGGAGGUGAAAAUUCCUCCUACCCGCGGCAAGACGGAAAGACCCCGUGGACCUUUACUACAACUUAGCACUGCUAAUGGGAAUAUCAUGCGCAGGAUAGGUGGGAGGCUUUGAAGUAAGGGCUUUGGCUCUUGGAGCCAUCCUUGAGAUACGCACCCUUGAUGUUUCUGGUUAGCUAACUGGCCU
rnacentral:rRNA from 1 species